rnacentral:lncRNA from 1 species
GCAGUUUGUAUGUUUCCUGACUCUCACGAUGCUCGCUCUCGACCAACAUUAGAGGGUGAAUGUAAGACAUAAUCUGCUGCCCCCUUCCUUUCUUCUUGCUGACCAGGACAGAGACAGGGUAGUGGAUCAGAUCAUCUCUUGGCUGGUCAAGUCCUUGGUCCUGUAGAGUAUAAGGCAAUAGACCAUACUUGUACUAGUAGAAGUACACCAGCUGUAUGGCUGGUACUAGUGUAGUUGUUGGCUGAUUUCAGCCUUGUACCCUAGGUGUAUGUAGUUGGUAGAACUGUACCUUAGAAGGUACAUGUAUUGGUGUAUAUAAACCAGCCCAA